CAGAAGCAUUCACUUCGGCCGUUCCCCAUUCAUCUUCUGCUGUUCCCCAUUGCUCUUGGCAGUUGGUGCUCGAGGCGCAGCGAUUUCUGGAGAGGGAGAAGGAGAGGGAGACGCCACCGAUAGCGGCGGCUAUUUUGUUGGGAGUAGAAGGGAAGGGGAGGAGAGCGGCAGUCAGGGUGACUGAACACAGGGUUCUGCAUUGAACUGCCCGUUUUUUAACUUUUUGUAGGGGGCUUUCUGCAAGAUGUCGAAAACAACAACAACUCUCCGAUGAUUAUCCACAUUUACAGAUUUUUUUUUUGUCUGAGCACUGUUUGAAUCGGUGGAGCAGAGGAGGAGGAAGAGAUGGGGGCGACAAGCUCGAAGCCCAUGGCGACCGAGAUCGCGGCGACGAGCCCCCCGCUGCGCACCUCUGCUCGAAGCAGGAGGCACCCGCUGUGAACACGGCGGGCAAGCGCUGCGCGGCUGUCGAGGCCUGCGGCAUCCACACCGCCGAUGACCUCUGCGCCGCCGACAAGCCACCAAAGUUCGGCCCUGCUCGCGAGUUGUGUGCGGCCGACGGGAUCCUCGGUCUCGACACCGUCCCGGAGUUCUCCGCAGCCAAUUAUCAACAAGUGGGAGUGAGUACUUCAUUUCCCCUCUCUUUCUGAAUACGUCCGUGCUUUGUGUUUGUGCGACGUGCUCAAAAUUGCUGCCGCACACAUCGAUUUUCGUGCUCUGGGUGUCCGCACGUAGAUAUGUACGUUGUUUCUGUAGCCCUUGUGGCCCUGAUUUUUCCCGUGAGGGUCGUUGCCCCCGUGCCUUUGUUGCCCUACGUUCGCGCUAGCCAGAUUUUUGUAAUUCGGUGAUGUGAUUUGUUAGGGUUAUUGUUGCAUAGGUACCAGAGUUGGGGAUGCACAAUGAAUCCAGAGCAAACGAGCCCUCACCAGAUAGUUGUUUUUCAUUCUUCAGUAUACAUGUUCAGAGAGCAUGCAUUAUGUUUUUUCAGUUUUUGUAAUAGUUCCCAGUGUACAUGUUCAGGGUUCAUAGAACAUGCAUCCUGUGCUAAUAACACUUUGUGCUAACUAUGUGCUUUCUGAAGUGAAGCUUCUUUUUUAGGGAUAUGUGUUUUCUGAAGCUAGAUCAUACUGUCCUUUGGGUCAAACAUAAUGUUGUCUGUGUGUUCUUGUACCUAUGGCCUGUCAAACAAACAAACAAGCCCAACAAAGAAAGGUCCAGGGGGCGGGCGGUAGUUAGGCUGGAAGGGGUGGGCUGCCCACAUACAAACAAACAGGCUGCCACAAACAAACAGGAGGUGAUCGGAAGCAACGACGCUGGUUGUUUUUGUCAACUGAUGGGUACAGAUUAUGGAAUGAUGUCAGAUUAGAUGUAUCUCACAUCUAGAUGUGACAUAGACAGACCCAAUUUUUAUACGUCUGAUAAGCCACCAUAUUAAGAAAUCAAAAACGGAGGGUGAGGAGUCGAUCAGUUUGCCCACAAAUAUGAGCAGGAAGAAGGAAAGAAACUAAAGCAUACCUUCAUUUAAAUUGUUUGUGCAAUUUUAAGAAAAGUGUUCAUGUAUUAAAAUAAUAUUCAUCUAAUUUUAAAAAUAGUCACACUUUUCUAAAAAAAAAUCAUGUAAUUCUAAAAAAUGUUCACGUGCUUAAAAAUAUAUUCGUAAUUUUAUAAAUAUUCAUGCUCUUUAGAAAAUUUCAUCUAAUUUAGAAAGUGUGUUUAUGUGUGUUUUAGAAAGAAGGUUGAUGCAUUUUGGAAAGUAAAAUUUAAAAGUGAGUGGGUGUAUGAGGGGUGGUGUAUGGACUAGGUGUAGAUCCUAGCUCUCCGUCAUGUCCAGCUCCACGAUAAUGGAGUAGUUUUGAAAUUUCAGACGCAUAAACACAUCUGUCAUUGCAAGUACGGGCUGUGUGCAAUACAUUAUAAUUAGGCGUGGUAGUUAGUUUGCUUCUGAAGUUUCCGCCUCCUAAGUCACGUGUUGCGACAGGAGUCCCGCAUUUUUUGGCAAGUUAUGCAAUCAUGCUAAAUCAAAUCUGAAUGGGUCUGUCUAGGUCUCAGUCGUCUAAGUCGACUGAUGUCACCUAAGGCAGAUUAGGCCUGUUUGUUUACUCGAUAGUUGCUGGGUUUUAUUCUUAGCUGGGCCUUUUUCGUUUCUCUCUUGUUUGUUUGUUUGUUUAUUGGGUUGGGCUGGGCUGAUUGUUUCUGUUGGAAGAUGCCCGUCGCCUGUAUAACAGAGGGACCGUGUCCCACGCCAUGUACAUGAUCUGUAACUGCACGCCGUGCUCCACUCCUAUGUGCACGUUGUGCAUGCCCGUACAUAGCUAGCUUCCUGUUAUGAUGUACUAUGUAUAAAUCCCCUUUGUGGGCUCAUUGAAUAGACAAGCCAAGUUUCUAUUCUCCA